UUAAUCUGAUUUUUCUGUUUUUCAGGCUUUUGUAAAAGGUCUGGUGGGAAGGAAGCUUCAACUAAGUCAACUAAUGCAAACUUAACGGGAUGCCCACUAGGCACGAGGCCCCGUGCUGGGCAGGACAAUACUAAGGGGAGCUAUGGCCUGAGAAGGUAGCGUUCCUGGAAGCCAGCUUACCACCAGACAGCCUGCCCUAGUUCAUACAGAGUACAAGGAAGCCAAGGACUCUGCCCUCACACUGCUGUAAGACAGACAGACAGACGCCCACUCGUUACAGAGAAUAAUGCGGGCCAAGCCUGCCCUGGCUGCUUGACCUUGCUGCCGGGCGGCCUCAGACAGCCCCUGGGACAGAGCCUGGAGUCCUCUACUGGCUGGGAAAGGGAAGGGAAGUGAGUUUCAGACAGAGGACAGCUCAAGCAACCAAGGGAAGCACAUGUACUUAGUGACCUUACACCUGCUAACAAGCUGAAGACAGCAGCAGCUCGUUUUAGAGCAGUUCUCUGAAGAGUAUGGAGCCAUUUAUGGAUGAAGACACUGGGGCUCAAAGAGGACCAUCCAUCUUGCAAGCCGUGAAGGCUAAUAUUGUAGCUGUGAAAUUUGACUCCAAGCUUCCUGGAAGCAAAAAUAGACACACAGAGGUCUGUACUCUGCCCAUUCCCUGAUGAGAAAGACAGUUUUCGGUGUAUUGGUUCAAAAGAAUUGACAAAUCUGGAAUUACACGGAAGGGCCCCUGACCGUGUCUGCUUCUGCCAUGGAGGGGAAGUGAAAGCAAAACAUCAGAGAACCUGGUCACAUAGGAAGUAGGAACUAAGGAAGAAUACUGCUGGGCAGGAACUGAGGGAGCACAGUGAGGCUGUUCUGGAAGAGUGUAGA